CGAGCAGCUUUUCAAAUGGUAGCUGAAAAGCCAAGACAUAGGAGGGCAUCGGUCACUCUUUGGAUCAUCAUGAAAGUCUUGUAGGUUUCUAGGUGAUCCAUUGGGUUGGUGGAGCCGUCAUAGGGCUCUAUUUAUGGCAUCUUGAAUCGAGUCGGGAUCAACUCAUUCAGGAUGCAUCGGGAGAAGGGUGGAAUGGUGUAGAUGGCAAAGUCAUUAGAUGACCCUCGGCC
rnacentral:lncRNA from 1 species